rnacentral:pre_miRNA from 1 species
AGGAGGAACAGCCCCAGUGGCGGGGCAGCUCUGGAAACCUGGAUUCAGCUCCCGCAGGAACUCCGGAGCUCUCCGUCUGCAGGGCCUGGAGGCUCCGGGCGGGG